rnacentral:misc_RNA from 1 species
UUAAAAAUUUCGUUUCCGAUCAGACAGAAAGGCAUGGACGCAUAGACUCGGCGCGAGGCGCCGAAGCACGACUGAUAUCCACGGGUUUGGACGAAGGCGGCCAAGAGGCCCCGUUCGAUAAUGAUCCCUCCGCAGGUUCACCUACGGAGA